rnacentral:lncRNA from 1 species
UAUGCAACAUAAAUCAACUUCAAAAUCCUUUCUUUUAUUCUUUUAUAUUCCUUUCUUUUCUUGGCAGUGUUAUUUUCUUUUUAGAUGUUAGCUAGGUUAUAUUGUCUAAAUUUUCGAAUACCGUAAAUAAAUAAAAAUAUACGUUGCCGUGAUACAAUUUAUUUUGAUUUAGUUGAUCCUCGAGAAAAAAUCAAAUAUCAGGCCGUUUGGCAAAUAUUUUCUGAUUUGUUUUCAUAAAAUCAUAAUUUUUUAUUAUUUUUUAGAUAUAAAUUUUAAUUAAAGAAGUGUUUCAUUCAUUUGGCAACAACAAAAAAGAGGUGUUUCAUGAUAAAAAAAUAAGAGCUUAUAUUAAUUAAAUAAAUUUCAAUAUAUUUUUGUUUAUAAAUAAGUUCCUAUUUCUCAAAAACAAAAUUAUUGAAAUGACUCAUUAUCUGAAAACAGUCUGCUGCACAAACUCGACCUUACCGGUUGUCAAAACAUGCAUCGUUGAAUAUUUAAGAUGGAAAUUAUUAGUUUGUGAACUAACAAUUUUGUUAUCUCAUGUAACUUCAUUCACACUACUUGAUAAAUAAUGAUUCAUUUUAUUCAUUCUGCUGCCACUCACAUUCUGAUUUAAAGUUAAAACGUAUAAUUAUGAUUCAUGCAGCACGAAGGAGACUUAGAAUUGUCAGAGAAGUACGUUUCCAUAUAUAAAAGCUGAAACCUGAUCAUCUCAUGACUGUUAAUUACUCCGUCAACAUGCAUAUACACACACGAGACAGGUCAUUAAAAUUCUGGGCUACUAUACCAAAAUUCAUCUAUAUAUACAUGUAAAUACGACAUACACAUCUAAUGGCUAAGUCAAUCUCCGUGGAAGUUUCGCCGAGAAGCUCCGAAAGGCAAAGUGGUGGAGGUGCGCAUCAUCCUGGAAAUUAAGAGCGUAAGACAAGUGAACAUUGUCAUCAAAUUUACACGAGCUCUGCUGGCGGCUAAACACCAGGCACUUCUUCAACUCCGGCAGAUCAUGCUCUCUUAUCUUGAAACAAAACACCGAGAGGAUUCGUUUCAGCUUCCUCUUCACUGACACUGGGGAUGAAUAAGAGUCCAUGAUGAUAUCGUUGAGUUGCGAGACAAAAAGCUUGUGAAGAAUUAAAGUGUUUGAUUUAAGUGCAUAUUUUGAUUCGGUGGAGUGGUGAGGAUUUAUAUAGAUCGGCCUUGAGAGUGCUGCGGUGUUAAAAGACAGGGACCAACUUGGUGCGGGAAGGAGAGGACACGAAUGCAGCACGAAUUUUACCAAGUGUCGAUAACGUAUGGGUGGAUAUCAACGCCUAAGAGCAAGUCGAAGAGUGUCCUAGUGAAAGCCCUAAAUAUAAUAUAAAAUAUUAUGUCCUAGUGAUAUAGGACAUGUUUUACCUAACUGAAC